UACGGAGGAUGCAAGCGUUAUCCGGAUUCAUUGGGUUUAAAGGGUGCGUAGGCGGACUAUUAAGUCAGUGGUGAAAGCCUGCAGCUUAACUGCAGAACUGCCAUUGAUACUGAUAGUCUUGAGUUUGGUUAAGGUAGGCGGAAUGUGUAAUGUAGCGGUGAAAUGCUUAGAUAUUACACAGAACACCAAUUGCGUAGGCGGCUUACUGAGCCGACACUGACGCUGAGGCACGAAAGCGUGGGGAUCGAACAGGA
rnacentral:rRNA from 1 species